AUUGGACGCUGGCGGAAUGCUUUACACAUGCAAGUCGAACGGCAGCACGGACUUCGGUCUGGUGGCGAGUGGCGAACGGGUGAGUAAUGUAUCGGAACGUGCCCAGACGUGGGGGAUAACGCAGUGAAAAUUACGCUAAUACCGCAGACGAAGUAUGGAUGAAAGCGGGGGAUCGCAAGACCUCGCGCGAUUGGAGCGGCCGAUAUCAGAUUAGGUAGUUGGUGGGGUAAAGGCCCACCAAGGCAACGAUCUGUAGCUGGUCUGAGACGACGGCCAGCCACACUGGAACUGAGACACGGUCCAGACUCCUACGGGAGGCAGCAGUGGGGAAUUUUGGACAAUGGGCGAAAGCCUGAUCCAGCCAUUCCGCGUGCAGGAUGAAGGCCCUCGGGUUGUAAACUGCUUUUGUACAGAACGAAAAGGUUUCUACUAAUACUAGGAGCUCAUGACGGUACUGUAAGAAUAAGCACCGGCUAACUACGUGCCAGCCGCCGCCGUAA
rnacentral:rRNA from 1 species